rnacentral:lncRNA from 1 species
CGGUUGGCUGGUUGUUACUAUGGAAGCAUUCUUACAAGUUUAAAAAAAAAAAUGAUUCGAAAUAGCAAAAUUAAAUUAAGAUAUACAAUAACAAAUUACAAGUAUAAAAAGAAAGUAAAGAAAAUAAAUAAAUAAAAAAAACAAAUGAAAUAUAAGAAAUGUAAUUUCUCAAGUCCUUUUUGCAGGGCAAAAAUGUCUGGGGUUGUUCAAGGUCACGGUCAGCUAGGUCGGGUUGGUUUAGCGGUGUUGCGGAUAAAUCCAGUGUUCGUACGAGCCAUCUUCGAGCGCUGUAAGAUGUAUUUCCAUGCAUCUGGUAGCUUAGUGGCGGGAUUCUCAUUUAAUAGGGUCUCUCUAUUUUGGCACUUGAAGAUCUCCAGUAUCUCAGUGUUGAAGCAC